rnacentral:rRNA from 1 species
AUUGAACGCUGGCGGCAUGCUUUACACAUGCAAGUCGAACGGUAACAGGGUGCUUGCACCGCUGACGAGUGGCGAACGGGUGAGUAAUGCGUCGGAACGCACCGAGUAAUGGGGGAUAACGCAGCGAAAGCUGUGCUAAUACCGCAUACGCUCUGAGGAGGAAAGCGGGGGACCUUCGGGCCUCGCGUUAUUCGAGCGGCCGACGUCUGAUUAGCUAGUAGGUGAGGUAAGAGCUCACCUAGGCGACGAUCAGUAGCGGGUCUGAGAGGAGGAUCCGCCACACUGGGACCGAGACACGGCCCAGACUCCUACGGGAGGCAGCAGUGGGGAAUUUUGGACAAUGGGCGCAAGCCUGAUCAAGCCAUGCCGCGGGUCUGAAGAAGGCCUUCGGGUUGUAAAGGACUUUUGUCAGGGAGGAAAUCCUUAGCGCUAAUACCGUUGAGGGAUGACAGUACCUGAAGAAUAAGCACCGGCUAACUACGUGCCAGCCGCCGCCGUAA